rnacentral:rRNA from 1 species
UUUAAAAUGAGAGUUUGAUCCUGGCUCAGGACGAACGCUGGCGGCGUGCCUAAUACAUGCAAGUCGAGCGAGCGGAACUAACAGAUCUACUUCGGUAAUGACGUUAGGAAAGCGAGCGGCGGAUGGGUGAGUAACACGUGGGGAACCUGCCCCAUAGUCUGGGAUACCACUUGGAAACAGGUGCUAAUACCGGAUAAGAAAGCAGAUCGCAUGAUCAGCUUUUAAAAGGCGGCGUAAGCUGUCGCUAUGGGAUGGCCCCGCGGUGCAUUAGCUAGUUGGUAAGGUAAAGGCUUACCAAGGCGAUGAUGCAUAGCCGAGUUGAGAGACUGAUCGGCCACAUUGGGACUGAGACACGGCCCAAACUCCUACGGGAGGCAGCAGUAGGGAAUCUUCCACAAUGGACGCAAGUCUGAUGGAGCAACGCCGCGUGAGUGAAGAAGGUUUUCGGAUCGUAAAGCUCUGUUGUUGGUGAAGAAGGAUAGAGGUAGUAACUGGCCUUUAUUUGACGGUAAUCAACCAGAAAGUCACGGCUAACUACGUGCCAGCAGCCGCGGUAAUACGUAGGUGGCAAGCGUUGUCCGGAUUUAUUGGGCGUAAAGCGAGCGCAGGCGGAAGAAUAAGUCUGAUGUGAAAGCCCUCGGCUUAACCGAGGAACUGCAUCGGAAACUGUUUUUCUUGAGUGCAGAAGAGGAGAGUGGAACUCCAUGUGUAGCGGUGGAAUGCGUAGAUAUAUGGAAGAACACCAGUGGCGAAGGCGGCUCUCUGGUCUGCAACUGACGCUGAGGCUCGAAAGCAUGGGUAGCGAACAGGAUUAGAUACCCUGGUAGUCCAUGCCGUAAACGAUGAGUGCUAAGUGUUGGGAGGUUUCCGCCUCUCAGUGCUGCAGCUAACGCAUUAAGCACUCCGCCUGGGGAGUACGACCGCAAGGUUGAAACUCAAAGGAAUUGACGGGGGCCCGCACAAGCGGUGGAGCAUGUGGUUUAAUUCGAAGCAACGCGAAGAACCUUACCAGGUCUUGACAUCUAGUGCCAUUUGUAGAGAUACAAAGUUCCCUUCGGGGACGCUAAGACAGGUGGUGCAUGGCUGUCGUCAGCUCGUGUCGUGAGAUGUUGGGUUAAGUCCCGCAACGAGCGCAACCCUUGUUAUUAGUUGCCAGCAUUAAGUUGGGCACUCUAAUGAGACUGCCGGUGACAAACCGGAGGAAGGUGGGGAUGACGUCAAGUCAUCAUGCCCCUUAUGACCUGGGCUACACACGUGCUACAAUGGGCAGUACAACGAGAAGCGAGCCUGCGAAGGCAAGCGAAUCUCUGAAAGCUGUUCUCAGUUCGGACUGCAGUCUGCAACUCGACUGCACGAAGCUGGAAUCGCUAGUAAUCGCGGAUCAGCACGCCGCGGUGAAUACGUUCCCGGGCCUUGUACACACCGCCCGUCACACCAUGGGAGUCUGCAAUGCCCAAAGCCGGUGGCCUAACCUUCGGGAAGGAGCCGUCUAAGGCAGGGCAGAUGACUGGGGUGAAGUCGUAACAAGGUAGCCGUAGGAGAACCUGCGGCUGGAUCACCUCCUUUCUAAGGAA